rnacentral:rRNA from 1 species
GACGAACGCUGGCGGCGUGCUUAACACAUGCCAGUCGAACGGUGAAGCUCCAGCUUGCUGGAGUGGAUCAGUGGCGAACGGGUGAGUAACACGUGAGCAACCUGCCCCUGACUCUGGAAUAAGCGCUGGAAACGGCGUCUAAUACUGGAUACGAGAAGGGUCCGCAUGGGCACUUUCUGGAAAGUUUUUCGGUUGGGGAUGGGCUCGCGGCCUAUCAGCUUGUUGGUGAGGUAAUGGCUCACCAAGGCGACGACGGGUAGCCGGCCUGAGAGGGCGACCGGCCACACUGGGACUGAGACACGGCCCAGACUCCUACGGGAGGCAGCAGUGGGGAAUAUUGCACAAUGGGCGAAAGCCUGAUGCAGCGACGCCGCGUGAGGGAUGACGGCCUUCGGGUUGUAAACCUCUUUCAGCAGGGAAGAAGCGAAAGUGACGGUACCUGCAGAAGAAGCACCGGCUAACUACGG